AUGAACGCUGGCGGCGUGCUUAACACAUGCAAGUCGCACGAAGCACUUUAACCUGAUUCUUCGGAUGAAGGUUUUUGUGACUGAGUGGCGGACGGGUGAGUAACGCGUGGGUAACCUGCCUCAUACAGGGUGAUAACAGUUAGAAAUGACUGCUAAUACCGCAUAAGACCACAGAGCCGCAUGGCUCGGUGGGAAAAACUCCGGUGGUAUGAGAUGGACCCGCGUCUGAUUAGGUAGUUGGUGGGGUAACGGCCUACCAAGCCAACGAUCAGUAGCCGACCUGAGAGGGUGACCGGCCACAUUGGGACUGAGACACGGCCCAAACUCCUACGGGAGGCAGCAGUGGGGAAUAUUGCACAAUGGGGGAAACCCUGAUGCAGCGACGCCGCGUGAGCGAAGAAGUAUUUCGGUAUGUAAAGCUCUAUCAGCAGGGAAGAAAAUGACGGUACCUGACUAAGAAGCACCGGCUAAAUACGUG
rnacentral:rRNA from 1 species